AGAUUGAACGCUGGCGGCAUGCCUUACACAUGCAAGUCGAACGGCAGCACGGGAGCAAUCCUGGUGGCGAGUGGCGAACGGGUGAGUAAUACAUCGGAACGUGCCCAAUCGUGGGGGAUAACGCAGCGAAAGCUGUGCUAAUACCGCAUAAGAUCUACGGAUGAAAGCAGGGGAUCGCAAGACCUUGCGCGAAUGGGAGCGGCCGAUGGCAGAUUAGGUAGUUGGUGAGGUAAAGGCUCACCAAGCCUUCGAUCUGUAGCUGGUCUGAGAGGACGACCAGCCACACUGGGACUGAGACACGGCCCAGACUCCUACGGGAGGCAGCAGUGGGGAAUUUGGACAAUGGGCGAAAGCCUGAUCCAGCCAUGCCGCGUGCAGGAUGAAGCCGUUCGGUUGUUAAACGUGUCGUUUAGUACGGAACGAAAAGUCUCUUUACUAAUAAAGAGGAUCAUAGACGGUAACCGUAAGAAUAAGACACCGACUAACUAACG
rnacentral:rRNA from 1 species